GACGAACGCUGGCGGCGUGCCUAAUACAUGCAAGUAGAACGCUGAAGGAGGAGCUUGCUUCUCUGGAUGAGUUGCGAACGGGUGAGUAACGCGUAGGUAACCUGCCUGGUAGCGGGGGAUAACUAUUGGAAACGAUAGCUAAUACCGCAUAAUAGUAGAUGUUGCAUGACAUUUGCUUAAAAGGUGCAAUUGCAUCACUACCAGAUGGACCUGCGUUGUAUUAGCUAGUUGGUGAGGUAACGGCUCACCAAGGCAACGAUACAUAGCCGACCUGAGAGGGUGAUCGGCCACACUGGGACUGAGACACGGCCCAGACUCCUACGGGAGGCAGCAGUAGGGAAACUUUGGCAAAGGACGGAAGUCUGACCGAGCAACGCCGCGGGAGUGAAGAAGGUUUUCGGAUCGGAAAGCUCUGUUGUAAGAGAAGAAAGAGUGUGAGAGUGGAAAGUUCACACUGUGACGGUAUCUUACCAGAAAGGGACGGCUAACUACGUG
rnacentral:rRNA from 1 species